rnacentral:rRNA from 1 species
GUGGGGAAUCUUGGACAAUGGGGGAAACCCUGAUCCAGCCAUGCCGCGUGAGUGAUGAAGGCCCUAGGGUUGUAAAACUCUUUCGGCGGGGACGAUAAUGACGGUACCCGCAGAAGAAGCUCCGGCUAACUUCGUGCCAGCAGCCGCGGUAAUACGAAGGGGGCUAGCGUUGUUCGGAAUUACUGGGCGUAAAGCGCGCGCAGGCGGUUUUCCAAGUCAGUGGUGAAAGCCCAGAGCUCAACUCUGGAACUGCCAUUGAAACUAGAAAACUAGGGUACGGGAGAGGUGAGUGGAAUUCCGAGUGUAGAGGUGAAAUUCGUAGAUAUUCGGAAGAACACCAGUGGCGAAGGCGGCUCACUGGCCCGUUACCGACGCUCAGGCGCGACAGCGUGGGGAGCAAACAGG